AGUGAGAAGCUCAACCACUGGGGCGUGAGGCUACGUUGGCGCAUGCGCGGCCCUGCUGCGGCGACUCCGCGCCUGCGCUGUAGGUGCAACUUCGCGUGGCUUUUGUUCGCACACACCUGCCUGUUACUAUGGGUAUGGUGGCGACUGCAGGUCUGGAUUGCUGGACAGCUUUUUCUUUAUACCUCGAGGCUUUCUUUGAAGGAGUCGGAGCAUUUACAAGGCCACCUCAAGAGGGAUUGAGUCGGGGGAGGAUUAGCAGUAUUUGCUUAGAUUGUAAAACCGCGACUUUAUCUAAUUAAAUAAAUCGCCGUUCAAGGUGCAGAUAUAAACUUAUAACAGAGGAUUUCAGCAGAUUGUGGUGACCACGGAAACAGACAUCUCUGGUGCCCUCCGUUUCUGGGAGAUAAUCAGUUUGUCCCACUGCCUGCUUGUGUCAGUGCUGUAUGUGGGCACCAAUACAUGCCUCUUUGUGAAGCAAAAAUGAGCACAUUUCUCUGAAUAAAACCGUAUAAACCAU